CCCUCAUAACUGAAAAUGGUUCUAUUUCCUCAGCAUCUUGUCGCCCCUCCCAUGGUGCAGGUACAUGUUGCCCUAGUCUAACUGGUUCUUCUUUUCUGUCACCAUCACAGGACUCCUCUGGAAGUUUCUAGCUGAAUGUUGUUCCAGAGCGUGAGUGAACCUGUGGAUUAUAAAGCCAUGGGAACAGAAUUCUCCAGGAAACCCCCUCCCAAAGAAAAGAGUCGAAUAGGACUUACGGUACAUCUAUGGAAGUAUAUUACAUGAGGAAAUAAAUUUGUUCUUAAAAAACAA